rnacentral:rRNA from 1 species
AGGUGGCUAAUACCGGAUGUGCCUUCGGGUGAAAGGUUUACUGCCUGAAGAUGAGCUCGCGUCUGAUUAGCUAGUUGGUGGGGUAAGAGCCUACCAAGGCGACGAUCAGUAACUGGUCUGAGAGCAUGAUCAGUCGCGCUGGAACUGAGACACGGUCCAGACUCCUACGGGAGGCAGCAGUGGGGAAUUUUCCGCAAUGGGCGAAAGCCUGACGGAGCAAUACCGCGUGAGGGGGGAAGGCUCUUGGGUUGUAAACCUCUUUUCUCAAGGAAGAAGACAAUGACGGUACUUGAGGAAUAAGCAUCGGCUAACUCCGUGCCAGCAGCCGCGGUAAUACGGAGGAUGCAAGCGUUAUCCGGAAUGAUUGGGCGUAAAGCGUCCGCAGGUGGCUUUGUAAGUCUGCCGUUAAAGAGUCAUGCUCAACAUGAUCAAGGCGGUGGAAACUACUAGGCUAGAGUACGUUCGGGGCAGAGGGAAUUCCUGGUGUAGCGGUGAAAUGCGUAGAGAUCAGGAAGAACACCGGUGGCGAAGGCGCUCUGCUAGGCCGUAACUGACACUGAUGGACGAAAGCUAGGGGAGCGAAUGGGAUUAGAUACCCCAGUAGUCCUAGCCGUAAACGAUGGAUACUAGGUGUUGCUUGUAUCGACCCGAGCAGUACCGUAGCUAACGCGUUAAGUAUCCCGCCUGGGGAGUACGCACGCAAGUGUGAAACUCAAAGGAAUUGACGGGGGCCCGCACAAGCGGUGGAGUAUGUGGUUUAAUUCGAUGCAACGCGAAGAACCUUACCAGGACUUGACAUGUCGCGAAUUUCCUUGAAAGGGGAAAGUGCCUUCGGGAGCGCGAACACAGGUGGUGCAUGGCUGUCGUCAGCUCGUGUCGUGAGAUGUUGGGUUAAGUCCCGCAACGAGCGCAACCCUCGUUCUUAGUUGCCAGCAUUGAGUUGGGCACUCUAGGGAGACUGCCGGUGACAAACCGGAGGAAGGUGGGGAUGACGUCAAGUCAGCAUGCCCCUUACGUCCUGGGCUACACACGUACUACAAUGCGACGAACAAAGGGCAGCUACACAGCAAUGUGAUGCAAAUCUCAGAAAUCGUCGCUCAGUUCAGAUCGCAGGCUGCAACUCGCCUGCGUGAAGUCGGAAUCGCUAGUAAUUGCAGGUCAGCAUACUGCAGUGAAUUCGUUCCCGGGCCUUGUACACACCGCCCGUCACACCAUGGAAGCUGGUAGUGCCCGAAGUCAUUACCCCAACGAUUCGUCGAGGGGGAUGCCUAAGGCAGGACUGGUGACUGGGGUGAAGUCG